rnacentral:lncRNA from 1 species
CUGGUUUGGAUGGUCUAGGGACCUUAGGGGAGGUCUCUUUAAAUAAGCACAAGGAUUGAAUUCUAUUCAAUCAUAUAAUACAAGUCCUACUUACAUUAGGUUUUUUAUUAACUUAAGUUAUCCAACUUACUUUAGGAGACCCUUUAGACGCCAACAAUUGGAGCCUUUGCACCCAUAAUUAGAAACCCCAAAACACACCCA